ensembl:snRNA LOC120103257 U1 spliceosomal RNA
AUAUUUUCCUGACAGAGGAGAUGCCACGGUCAUGGUGGUGAUCUCAGGACGAACGAGGCUCGUUUAUUGUACUGUGAAUGUGCAAACCCUUGUGAUUCCCCAAAGUGCAGGAAACUAUAUAUAAUUUGUGGUAGUGGGGGAUUGUGUUUAUAUGCUCCUG